CCUACGGGAGGCAGCAGUGGGGAAUAUUGCACAAUGGGGGAAACCCUGAUGCAGCAAUGCCGCGUGAGUGAAGAAGGCUUUCGGUAUGUAAAGUUCUAUCAGUAGGGAAGAAGACAGUUGGUACCUGACUAAGAAGCCCCGGCUAACUACGUGCCAGCAGCCGCGGUAAUACGUAGGGUGCAAGCGUUAUCCGGACUUACUGGGUGUAAAGGGAGCGUAGGCGGCUGUGCAAGUCUGAAGUUAAAGCCCGUGGCUCAACCGCGGAACUGCAUUGGAAACUGGAUAGCUUGAGUACUGGAGAGGCGGGCGGAAUUCCUAGUGUAGCGGUGAAAUGCGUAGAGAUUAGGAGGAACACCAGUGGCGAAGGCGGCCUGCUGGAAAGAAACUGACGUUGAGGCUCGAAAGCGUGGGGAGCAAACAGGAUUAGAUACCCGUGUAGUC
rnacentral:rRNA from 1 species